rnacentral:rRNA from 1 species
GUGGAACGAGAAAGAACUAGGGGAAAGGUAAAGGAAGAUAGGAAGGCGAGGAUGUAGGUGGCCUACUCGAGACCGACAAUCGUGACCAUUAACAACGGCGCCUAAAUUAAGGGUUGUUGAUGAGUCAAAGGAGAGAAAAGGGACAGCAGAAGAACGAGCAUGGGUGAACGUGCGUGUGGACGUAGAGCCGAGUGACCACGCCGGUGCCUAAUCGGCAGAUGCCGCGGACCAAACCGAGGAUAUGCGGAGCAGCUAGAGAGUUUGGCCAGUUGCCGCUGCCUCCCCAUCGUCCCGGGUUCCUCUUCGACGAGUCCCCUCCUCCGCUCGAGCAGCUAGAGGUACCACGGCCACGGUAGCGGUAGGCACGUCCGCUACAACCACACCUAGAACAGAGGGCGUCGGUCAAACCUAGGUGGAACUAAUACUCCUACGACUGCCUAAAGAAGGUAGCGUAGCACAGAGGGGACUCGAUCCUUCGAGCCGUCCAGCAGAAGUAGGAGCUGUCACCGUCGGACUAAAGCCGUCGAGUAAGAAGGUGGACGUCCGGGGUGAAGAGAGAAAAGGACGGAGAGGUUAUAAAAAGAACAAAGGAUAGGAAAAAGACGUACGCAUACCCAUUUGGUUAUAUUACCCUAAUUCCAUUAAGAACAAUCACCUUCCACAUAUAGACACAUACCGGGGGACGGGGGUAAGUAUAAGUUGUUUAAAUCAUUCAUUAAUCACAUAAGCACUAAUCGGUACAGAAUCAUAAAGGGUUUCUAUUUUUAUUAUCCUUUUAUCAACGCUCACGUAGGAUGUAUACUUGAUUUUACUACGUGCGUGUACGACAGUGAUAACCGAACAUGAUGUCUUAUUCGAAGUUUAUAGUCUAUUGAGUUUCACAGUGUAAACCAUAAUAAGUAGAUAAAGGUAGUUUACAACUACGUACAAAGGUUUAAGGUUAUGAAGAUCCUCAUCGUCUAAUAUAGGUAAGACGGUAUAGUACAGGGAGCACUUGAGGAACUCGAAAUACACCUUGUGAGUUAGUUGUUAUAGUCGAGAAAGCCUACAACAAACCGGAUGAAGGUAUUCGUAUCCAACUUAUAGGCCGGUUCGACACAACGUGCACUGACAGUGUUUAUCCAGACACAUAAGUCGGGUGGCUGCAGAACGAUAUCGUAGAACUAUUAGCGACAACAUAGUUUUUCUUUUGACUAAAACUCUAACAAGAAGUUACCAGACAUAAAAAGCAUGAGGAUCUGAAACUUCCAGAAUUAAUACAUCUACUUCAGGAAAGUACAAACGAAAUUUAAAUAACUGGUCAAAAGAGGGUUAUCUUCGUACCUAGCGUAACGGGAUGUGUCUCUCUUAUGCAAUCGUUUGAAGCCUUUUCCUUUUGACUUCUCUGUAAUAUAUACAUUAUGAACUUGAAAAAAAAUAGAUUACGUACCUAGCGUAAUCAGAUAUUCAAUUGAUGCAGGGUUUCAGAGUUCACUAAUACACUGUUGUUUCUUUUAACUUCUAAAAAAUUUGACCUUUUCUAUAUACUUUAGUAUCAUCUACUUAUUUAUGUUAAAGUAACUAUCAACCAGACUUAAAAACAAAGUCUACCUCGGCCACCGUAAUGCUGGUGAUAGCUUAUACUCCAACCAGUUUAUACUUUUGGUAGAUAUAUACAAAUAGAUAUAACGUCGUUAGUUAGGAUAAACAAAGACAAUAUCGACAUCAUACCGAGAUCAGAAGAUCUCAUAUAAUAGAAUCGCAUCUAUGUGACCUUGGUUGUGGGUACCGUAGUCGAAAGAGAUCUGCUCAUUUUCAUAAUUGUACGUUGGUAAUUCUAUCCUUAGGUGUGUAUAUCUUAACGUAAUAAAUUACAGCUUAUGAGAAGUAUCAAAGAAGACAAAGAUGUAUUACUUGGAACACUCGAUUGUACAGUUUAGAAAAAUCUAAUCUUGACGGAUGUUUUAUUAACUUCAUAAUAACUAGGUAAUUUUCCAGACUAAAUAUUAUACUUUUGGUAGACUACGUGGUAUAUACAAAGAGAUAUAGCGUCGUACGUAGGGUAAACAAAGACAAUAUCGACAUCAUAUUAAUAUCUGAAAAUAUCAUACAAUAGAAUUUCACUUAUGUAACCUUCGUUGUAUGUACCGUAGUUAGAAGAGAUCUAUUCAUUUUUCAAACUGGCACUGUGGUAAUUCUGUCCUUGAGUGUGGAUACCUUAAGAUGUAUUCGUUGGAAGGCUUUACCAUGACUGAACUACACCAGACUAACGAGCUGCCUCUGCCGAACACGGGCGAUCUCCUUCUGUUAAGGCUUCAAGAUGAAUGGUCAAACGUACUGCCUUUCUCUCCAAAAAAACACGUGAUACCCUUCUCAAAACCUACGACAGACCUCUCUAUAAGACAAACCUCUCUAACUUAGAGACAUGCAAUAACUACUAACAAACCUAAACAAACCCAUUAUAACAUCCACUGUUACUGUUCAACAUGCAUGGUAAUAUUGACGCACGAACAGCUACUACAGCCGCUAGAAGUUCUUCAUGGGGACCUCCAGGACGUACCAGAGGCGUCACAACCGAUCACCAAACAACUGCUUCCCACUGCACAACAAGUGGACCUGUAAAUGGAUACGUUUAGUGUGUUAAGUAAACUGCCUCCGAUAACGGAUAACGGAUACGGAUCGCAGUCCACUUCCGCGUACACGUGUGUGCGUGUUUGAUGUACGUUUGACUUAACUAGAAAAACGUAGCUAGUAACCGACUAACAAAGUUCUCGUUGUACAGUUAACCUUUAGCAUCAGAUCAUAGGACCUACUAAAACCCACACGUUUGAGAGUACAUUAGACACAUGACUAAGAAACAGGGUUAGUAUGUAUUAGUUUAUCUUAUCACGAAUGGAUAC